rnacentral:rRNA from 1 species
CACGUAGGGCGCGAGCGUUGUCCGGAAUUAUUGGGCGUAAAGAGCUCGUAGGCGGUGUGUCGCGUCGGCCGUGAAAACCUGGGGCUUAACUCUGGGCUUGCGGUCGAUACGGGCAUCACUUGAGUUCGGCAGGGGAGACUGGAAUUCCUGGUGUAGCGGUGAAAUGCGCAGAUAUCAGGAGGAACACCGGUGGCGAAGGCGGGUCUCUGGGCCGAUACUGACGCUGAGGAGCGAAAGCGUGGGGAGCGAACAGG